rnacentral:rRNA from 1 species
UACGAAGGGGGCUAGCGUUGUUCGGAAUUACUGGGCGUAAAGCGUGCGCAGGCGGCCAUCCAAGUCAGUGGUGAAAGCCCGGAGCUCAACUCCAGGACUGCCUUCGAUACUGAGAGUCUCGAGUCCGGGAGAGGUGAGUGGAACUGCGAGUGUAGAGGUGAAAUUCGUAGAUAUUCGCAAGAACACCAGUGGCGAAGGCGGCUCACUGGCCCGGUACUGACGCUGAGGUGCGAAAGCGUGGGGAGCAAACAGG